AGGACGAACACUGGCGGCGUGCCUAACACAUGCAAGUCGAACGCCCUCCAUUCGGUAGCAAUACCGAUGAAGAGGGAGUGGCGAACGGGUGAGUAGCACGUGAGCAACCUGCCCCGAAGACUGGGACAACACCGGGAAACCGGUGCUAAUACCGGAUAUCCCUAUCGGACCGCAUGAUCUGAUAAGGAAAUGGAUUCCGCUUCGGGAGGGGCUCGCGGCCUAUCAGCUUGUUGGUGGGGUAACGGCCUACCAAGGCGACGACGGGUA
rnacentral:rRNA from 1 species